rnacentral:rRNA from 1 species
UACAGAGGUCUCAAGCGUUGUUCGGAUUCAUUGGGCGUAAAGGGUGCGUAGGCGGCGCGGUAAGUCGGGCGUGAAAUCUCGGAGCUUAACUCCGAAACUGCAUUCGAUACUACCGUGCUUGAGGACUGGAGAGGAGACUGGAAUUUACGGUGUAGCGGUGAAAUGCGUAGAUAUCGUAAGGAAGACCAGUGGCGAAGGCGGGUCUCUGGACAGUUCCUGACGCUGAGGCACGAAGGCCAGGGGAGCAAACGGG